rnacentral:rRNA from 1 species
AUGUCGAACGGUGUACUGGCUUCUGAUGCUGACUGGUGGAGUAAGGGUGACUUAUACAUCCUAUCGUGCCGGAAAGUGGGGGAUAACCAAUCGAAAGCUUUGCUAAUGUAUGUGAAUAUCUCGAUGAAAGCAGGGGACCGCAGGCCUUGCGCUCAAUAGCGGCCGAUGGCAUAUUAAUGUAGUUGGUGGGAUAAAAGCUUACCAAUCCGACAAUCUGUACCUAGUCUGAAGGACAACCACCCACCCUGGAACUGAAACACGGCCCAAACUCCUACGGAAGGCACCAUUGGGAAAUUUUGGACAAUGGGCGCAAGCCUGAUCAACCCAUGCCGCGUGCAGGAUGAAGGCCUUCGAGUUGUAAACUGCUUUUGUACGGAACAAAAAGACUCUGGUUAAUACCUGGGGUCCAUGACGGUACUUAUUAGAAUAGUGACCGGCUAACUGUGCCCCAGCCCGCGCGGUAAUAUAUAUGGUGCGAGCGUUCCUCAAAUUUACUGGGCGUAACGCGCGCACGCGCGGUAAUAUAUCACAGAUGUGAAAUCGCCGGUCUCCCCCUGCCAACUGCAUUUGUGACUGUACUACUUAAUACAGCAGAGGUGAUGGUCUUCCUCGUGUAGCGGUGUGCUGCGAAA